GUUUGGAAUGUUCGGGGGCUUAACAGCCCUGCUAAGAGGAAAGUACUUAGAGAGUUCGUGGAUUUGAUUCAUGUGGCAUUGGUGUGUAUCCUUGAGACCAAGUUGGAGUCGGUAGACCAAUUCUUAAUAAUGCAAUGUCUAGGGCCACCUUAUGAUGGUUUUACCUACCUUUCGGUGUUUGACACGAGAGGUGGGACCUUUGUGGCGUGGGAUUCAUCUCGGGUACUCGUUUUGAAUAUUGUAAACGACACCUACUCACUCACGGGCUAUGUGUUACCUAAGGAGGGCCCUUCAUGGUGUCUUUCGGUGGUUUAUGGGCCACAAUAG
rnacentral:rRNA from 1 species